GGUGACACUGCCCAAGCAGCACGAGGGCACCAGGGGCUGCUCGUAGCUUUGCUGAUAAAGCACAGACAGUGAAUCUGCCUGUGGCCCUUCUCAGGUGUGGUAUCUCAGCCCAUUGGUCACGCUCAAGUGGGGUUACCAGUCAAGAGAGGCUCCAUCUGCUCGAAGAACAGGCAGCUGCCAUUAGGAGCUCACCUGACCUAAGGACGAGCACCAGGGUCAGCAUGUGUAAUGAAGGAAGGGGACAACUUCACUGCCAGCUUCAGCCACUACAAAUGUUUGGAUGGACUGCUUUUUCUUGUUUUAAUGCUAGCCUGCCUGGAGUUCUGCAGGAAAAUCUGUCAUCAGUCGUGGCAGUGGGACCAAGGAAAAUGUAGGUUGCUUUCGCCCAUCUGAAAAAAAAAAAAAAAGUCAGACUUUGAACACCAAGAUAGAGCCCUUCUGCUGGGAGACAAUUUAAUACCUGGCAAAGUGUGUCCUUUGGUCCAGAUUUACCUCGUGUUUGGAUUGUCUAUUAACCUUUGAAAAGUCAACAGUUGUAAACGUGUUAUAAGCUUAUUCAUAGGUUUUGCAAGAUUUUUUAACUGUUAAGAAUCUCUCCUCAGGGAGUAUGCUCCCACCCUCUGGUAGUAUGGAUUUUUUGAGAAAUUUUGCUCUAAGUAAGACAGCUUUAGGAGUGAGACUAGGGGGUGAAUGAGGUCAAGCAGCGAUGAAAAAUGGGGCAAGCUUAGCAAACUAAUUAGCUGACAGCUGGUUUCUGAAUAGAAGCUUCAGUCUGUCUGAAAAGCAGGUGACAUGAUACCAGUUUUAGGUAUAAUUUCAUACUUUAUCCCUUUAAUGGAGCUGGAGUAAGCUUCAGGAUAAACAUUUUGUGGAAUUGUCUGUCAGAAAAUAUAUAUAUAUUUUUAAUUGCCCCAAACUCAAGUUGAGAAGAAGGGCUGGAACAUCCCUGCUUAUUUUUCUACCAGCCUGUGUAGGAGUUGCUGCUGGCUGGCUGUGCCACCACCUCUGGGCACAGUGAUGUGGUUUUGGCAGGGGGCCUGGGUCUGACUUCCAGAGAAAGCCAGUCUCCACCUUACUUAUUAUUUCCGCAAAAACCAUGGGAUUGAAGAUGCUGAUCUGCUUCAUGACAUAAAAGCUUGGUGGGUUGAUCUGUGUGACAGGGCAGCACCCAGUGCAGGUCAUAGGAAGGC
rnacentral:lncRNA from 1 species